rnacentral:rRNA from 1 species
AACGAACGCUGGCGGCGCGCCUAAUACAUGCAAGUCGAGCGAGAAGGUGUAGCAAUACACUUGUAAAGCGGCGAACGGGUGAGGAAUACAUGGGUAACCUACCCUCGAGUGGGGAAUAACUAGCCGAAAGGUUAGCUAAUACCGCAUACGAUUCCAGCACUUCGGUGCUGGAAGGAAAGCACUACCGUGGGUAGUGCGCUCCUGGAUGGGCUCAUGUCCUAUCAGCUGUUGGUGAGGUAAUGGCUCACCAAGGCUUCGACGGGUAGCUGGUCUGAGAGGACGAUCAGCCACACUGGCACUGCGACACGGGCCAGACUCCUACGGGAGGCAGCAGUAAGGAAUAUUGCGCAAUGGGCGACAGCCUGACGCAGCGACGCCGCGUGGGGGAGUGAAGGUCUUCGGAUUG